rnacentral:misc_RNA from 1 species
CGCACCUUGCGCUCUUUGGUAUUCCGAAGAGCAUGCCUGUUUGAGUGUCAUUAAAUUCUCAACUCCUCAAUGGUUGUCAUGACCGCUGUUGAGCUUGGAUGUGAGGGUUUUGCUGGCUUUCACAAGUCAGCUCCCUUGAAAAUUAUUAGCGCAGCUUCUGCAAAUCGCUUGGUGUGAUAAUCUAUCUUGCCAAUUAGUGACGCGCAUGAAUGGAGUUUUGUGCUUCUAACCGUCUUCUCUGUGAGACAAUAUUUUUUGAACUUGACCUCAAAUCAGGUAGGACUACCCGCUGAACUUAA